UUGGGAGAGGCGAAAAGGAGGCCGCCCGUGCUCCCGCCGGCGAGGCCGUUGAUCUCCCCCGCCUCCGAUGGCCUUCUAGGCCUCAGAUGUGAGGGGGAUCUCGGGUUCUCAGCCCGGUGGUGUAGAUUAGGUACUAGCUUGUUUAGGUUUGUGUUUCCGGGUAGGUGUCCAAGCGGCGUCGGCAAGGCGAUGACGGUGGCGGCGCGUUGGAAUAAGUCCCUCCAGCUCCUUCAUCGUCUCGGCGAUGCUUACUCCGGCAUCGGCGAGGGGCUAGUGAGGGUGGGGUCCCAUGGAGCGGGGUGCCUCGUUGACGCGAGGUUUCUUCUGGUCCUUCGUGACUCCAAGGUAGGAGUCGGCUUCCAGAGGUUCCAGCAAGAUACGUCUGCGAAGCUCUGGAGGGGGAUGGCUGCUAGUUUGUUGGUUACGUGGUGGGUGGAUCUGGACUUGUUCUUUGCUGUUCGUCGGCGAGGAGGGCGGAUCCACGGUCAAAGAAGCUUGGGGUGCGUCCCCGGCCGAUGCACUUUCUUCGUUCUCUUCUAUUGCGGCUCGAUUCAAAGCUUUGCAGCGAUGGAGUUCCUUUUGACCUCGGUGUUCACGUCGUCUUCUUUUGGCCCUGACCAUGGGCACGGCGGAGGAAGGCGGCGGCGACGGCGACGUCUGGUGGCCACAGUGUGUGCAAAAGAUCUGCUGGAUCAAGUUGUAAUUUUCUCUUUUGUCAAGGUCUUUUGUGCAAAUGUAUGUGGACAGCUGUUUCCUCUCUAUGGUUCUAGUAGGUGCCUGUAUGGUCCUGGUCUUGUACACGUAUGAUGUUGGUAUAAUACAGGUACUGUUUUAUCAAAAAAAAUAGAAUAUAGAACCCGGAUGCCCAAGUGAAAAUUGAGAGAAAAAUCGAAGAGCAAAUUAAACGCUCAGAGCCUGAGACGAACAACAAAGAAUCGCUGCGGAUCGGAAGAAGCACCCACCAUGGAGGAGCCUGGUAGUGGUGCUAGUAGCAGGUGUCGCGCUGCCGACGGGGAAUCGCAGGACGAGCAAGGGGACGCCUCUGUUGAGGUCGAACUCGAUCUCUUCCCGGGCCCGCCGUUCCGCGUCCAGGAAUCUGCGCCGCGGCGACCGGGCUUGUCUUAUUCUUCGUCGGGUUCAGGAAUCACGUUAUCCGCUGGAUCCCAGUUCAGCAAGAAGGGCGGCGACGGUAGCAGAAGCCGCGGCGACCGGGCACCGCCGGCGACCGCCGUUGGGAAGGAGCACCUGUUCGACAAGGUGCUGACGCCGGCCGACGUGGGGAAACGGCUGGUUAUCCCCAAGGAAGAUGCGGUCUGGCCCUUCCUGCCCGGCGUCGUGCUCGUGCUUACCUUCAAGGACCCCAACGGGAAGCAGUGGAGCUUCCGCUGCUCCUACUCGAAGGACCUCCGGCGAUGCUACAUGUCCAAGGAAUGGAGCCGCUUCGUCAGGAAGAAGGGACUCCACGCCGGCGACACCGUCUCCUUCUACCGCGGCCUCGGGGCGGCAGGACACGGCCGCUUCUUCGUGGACUGGAAGCUGCGCGCGGAUGACGCCCACCGUCGCAGACUCCGUCUCCCGAUCCCGAAGCAGCCUCCCAUGGCUACCCCCAAUUCGGAGCUCGCUGACCCCUGCUCGGCCUCCUCGAUCAGUCGUCUCUCCCAGCAGCUUGUUCAUGUUCGAACCACCAUCUCACCCUCCAGUGGAGCGCAGGUGUCCUUUGCCUGGCUGACUAGAGUUAGGAGCUUGGCCGCCGACGCCCAAGACUGUCUGCAAGAUCUGCACUACAGGAUGAUGCAGGCCGUUCUUGGAGUUGGGAGCCACGAGAAGGUGAUAAUGAGAUCAAAUGUGUCAGGGAAUUCUUCCAGAGCAACAUCUAGCAGCUUUUUCCAGUCAGCUUCCCUGGUAGAACUUACCGUCAUAUCCAUUGGUGAUAAACUUGAGGGCCUCCAACAUGGAAGACCUGAAUUGUCCGUUGCAGCUCCUCGCAAUUCAAGUAAAUUAAUCUCGGUUAAGCAUUUGGUCGUGCGUUGCAUCCUUCUAUGCCGCGGUAUCUUGGGCAUUAUGAGCGCAGCUGGAGCUGAUGAAGUGAAGGCGACCCGGGAAAUUCCAGUGUUUGCUUCUGAUGAUCUGACAUACGCUGGCCGUGCAAAGGAUAGUAUGAUGGACUCCCCGAAUAUGCCAACAAACGUGACUGACCCUAUCUAUUUGUUGCCCACAUUUAUCAGAAGCAUGCUUUAUUUGGAUCUCUCAAAUUGCAGCAGCCUUGCACAGGUGCAUCCUUCCCUAUGCACCCUUCAUCAUCUGGCUGCUUUGAACCUCUCCCGGUGCUAUUCUCUUCACACAUUACCGGUAUCACUAGGAAUGCUGCAGAACUUGCAGAUUCUUCUUCUUUCAAACUGCCAGAAACUACGGAAUCUUCCAGUGUCGCUUUGCGACCUCUCCAAGCUCAGAUUGUUGGAUCUGUCGGGCUGUUCUAGACUUGAGACCUUACCAUAUUCUUUCGUCACGCUUCGACAAAUGGAGAUUCUGAAUCUUUCAUACUGCAAAGGAUUGAAGGAGCUUCCACAACCAUUUGGCAUCCUUCAAGGACUUAAGUACUUGAAUUUAUCAGGUUGUCAUGGUUUAGACUUGGAUGUUGAGUGUAAGCUGGCCAAUUUGAUGUGUGUGACUCUGUCACCGCAUAGCAAUAUUCAAGGUUUCUCUGACUCCUUUCGAGAUCUUAAGAACCACCUGGAUAUGUCAAGAUGGUGGAAGAAGAGCCGGCUCCAUCCCCAGUGCAACCCAAAGGCCAUUCCUUUUCAUACAUAUAAGUCCCACGAGCAAAGUAUUAUUGAAAGACUACUGUCUGUUAAUUUUGAUGAGGGUGGUGUCACUAGUGACCAUGUAGUCACUUCUAUUUGCAUAGUUGGUGAAAGCGGCAUGGGCAAGACUGAUCUGGUUCAACGAAUUUACAAUAACAAAUUGAUUUUGGAUACUUUUGAUUUGAGAAUAUGGGUACCUGCAUGUGACAAAAAGAGGCUACUAGAGAAAAUUGUAGAAUUUACAACUUUCUCCUACUGCUGUGAUUCCCCAAUGAGCGUUCUCGAAGAAAUUUUAAUAGAAGAACUUACUGGCAAGAGAUUCUUACUUGUACUGGAUGACUGUGAUUACGAGAGCUCACAAUUCUGGAAUGAACUAUUGAAACUAUUUAAUGUUUGCUCAAAAGGAAGUGCUGUCAUUACAACUACUAAGAACAAGGAAGUCGCUAACCAUGUGGGAGCAACGCAAACCUAUUACUUGAGUUCUCUAUCGAAAGAAGACUGCUUCAUGAUUUUCCGCAGACAUGCGCUUGGUGGUUUAGAUAUGAAAAGUUACCCUCCGUUAGAAAGUGUUGGCUGGAAAGUUGUUGAGAAAUGUGGUGGUAAUGCACUGUGCAUAAAAUCCCUAAGUGGGUUAUUGUGUCAUUCAGAAAUUGGUUUAUCUCAAAUGGAUAUGCUCGUUGAUGGUAUCUUACCAGCACUAAGACUUUGUUAUGAUCUUUUGCCAUCACACCUUCAGCAGUGUUUCAAAUUUUGUUCCUUAUUCCCCAAAGAUUAUCAUUUCAUCAAGCAUCACAUUGUCCGAUUAUGGAUAGCUCAAGGUUUUGUCUUCCCUGAAGAAGGUUGUCAACCAGAAGAGACUGGCCUGCAUUAUUUUGACGAGUUGUUCUGCAGAUCAUUUUUUCAGCUCUCUCCCUUCCAUAAUGAUAAUGAAGAUAAGUUUGUUAUGCAUGAGCUAUUUCAUGAUUUAGCACAAUCUGUUUCAAAGAAUGAAUGCUUCAGAUCCGAAGAACCCUUCUGCAGUUUUCCUGAAAAUAUUUCCCACCUCUCGCUUGUUCCAUCAAAUUUUAAGACUGUUACGCUGAUUAAAGAAAUUAAAAAUCUGCAGUCCUUGUUGGUUGUUAGAAGAUUUUUUCCCGGUUGUUAGAAUUUUGCAGGAUGAUCUUUAUGUGAAAUAUAGAUUCUUAAGGGCACUAAAUUUGAGCUCUACAAACAUUCUACAGCUGCCAAGUUCUAUUCGGAACAUGAGACACUUGAGGUUCUUGGCUCUCAACAACACGAUGAUCAAGGCCCUUCCUUUUGAAAUAGGACAGGUAGACACUCUGCAAACAUUGGAACGCAAGGAUUGUUGUCACCUUACUGAGUUACCAGGAAGCACAAGUAAUUUGACAAAGCUUCGACAUCUUGAUGUGCGCAAAGAACCUGGCAAUAUUAAGGUUGGCAUGCCUCAUGGUAUUGGACAGCUGACGGAUCUCCAAACAUUGACAGAAUUCAACAUUGGGAACAAUUUGUCGCAAUGUUCAAUUGCAGAGUUCAAGAAUCUGAAUGGACUAAGGGGACAUGUCCAUGUAACAGGGCUUGAGAAUAUUAAGACUGCUGAUGAUGCCAGAGAAGCAAAUAUAGUUGGCAAGCACUUCCUAGAAGCUUUGACAUUGGAGUGGUGUUACAACGAUGAAGGCACAGAUGAUGGUUUAUGCCAAGAAAUUGCUAAUAAUAUUCUUCAACAUCUUCAACCCAACAGCAACCUUCAAAAGCUUGUCGUUCAAAAUUAUCCUGGCAAUCUGUUUCCUCUGUGGAUGCAGGAUUCUUACCUUAGCAAGCUCGUCUCAAUUACACUUGAUAACUGUUAUGGCUGUAGUAAGCUUCCAUACUUUGGUGAUCUGCCAUCUCUUAAAUCUCUCUUUAUACAGAGAAUGAAUUCUAUAGAAAGCUUUGAAACUGGGAGUAGUUCUUUGGCCACUGAAGAGAAACGUCCUCCUAGAUUCCCAUCGUUGGAGGUCCUCACUUUAUGGGAGAUGUAUGAUUUGCAAUUUUGGGUUGGCACAAGUGAAGGGGAUUUUCCACGGAUUUGCCGUCUUUCCAUCAGUAGAUGCCCAACUGCCCAAGACUCAGAAAUUUACCUCCCCUUCGUUCUCUAGUGCAUCUGUCAGUACAUUGUAGUAGUCAAAUACCAUCCUUCUCAGAACUUCCAUCACUUGAGUCACUGAAGAUUGAAGGAUUCAAUAAGAUUCGGUACAUUAGUUUCCCCCAUCAACUGAUAACGUUGAAGAAGUUGGAAAUUAGUGACUGCAAAGAGUUGUCAUCAAUGUAUGCUUAUUCCUUAUCUGUUUCGGAUUUAAGAGUUGUGAGGUGCCCAAAACUUGAUUUGGUUGGAAGUUCACUGGAAGAUCGUCACAGAAAAAAAGUGGACGGUGGAAGGAAUAUUCCUACAAGGCAGUCUAUGGUGCUAAAAACUGCAACAUAUACAGAUCUCCAAGUUGACAGUUGGAAGUGGGAAAAGCAUGGAGAAAAGAAUAUAUUUGGGUCCAAUCUUGCAAGGUAAAAAUAUAUUAUUUAUAGAGUAACUACUAAACUACAUCGGAGCCAUGAGUCCAUGAACACGUAUUAGUUCCAUCUUUCUGGAGUUGCAUUUGAUUCUUUAUUUAUAUUUAUAGCAGGUUGUUUUGCUUAUGGCUUAAAUACUGGAAUCCUUGCUUUUUUUAAUUGUCUUAUAAAUCGUAAACUAUGUCACAUUAGUUGUUAUUUAUAGAAAAGGGUGUACCUAUUGUUAAAGCUCCUGCAUGAGGGGAUGUCUACGGGAAGAAAUUUCCUUGACAAUUUUCCUCUUGGAACAAUUUGUAAAGAGGUUGAUUUGAACCCAGGACCUCCAUGGGGACUCUACCACGGCUCCAGGCCCACCUUUCUUACCUGUUAUUAUGCAUAACAAACAUAUUUUUUAAUUUACAAUUGAUAGAAGUUUUGAUUUACUUGAGUAUGGUAGAAACUAUAUAUUUUACUGGUAACGAAUCAUAUAUGGUGUGGGCCAGAAAAAAAUAAGAGAAAAUGUUGAUACUAGUCAUAGCCUUGGAUCAUAUCUUUAUGGCAAACGUUUAGACGGACAGCUUAUGCUUUCAUGUGUUCUAUAUGAAGAUAGCUGAUUCAGUAUUCAAACCACAUAUGAAAGCAUUUUAUUAGUUAACUAUAUAGAUCAUUACAUAUGAAAGCAUUUUAUUAUUUAACUAUAUAGAUCAUUAUUAUUAGAAGUCCACAUUUUGUUCCUUGGCAAAUAACGAGUCAACCUUCCAAUUCAAUUAGUUUGGUCAGGCACAACUAGGACUGAAACAGCAGAGAAGAGCCAGAAAGGUAAAUAGUCAGUGCAGCAAGCAUAGAUUAACAACAGAAUCUCUAUCUACGCUUCCAACAUCUGACAAGCAAUUAACGCUUGUAAGCAAAUGCAAAAUUGCUAUAUCAUGAAAAAAUAGAUAUGCUUUGAUAUGGUUUGCUCAAUUUUUUGAAAUGAGUAAAAAGUACUGUAAUAAAGCACAUACCCGCAAAAUAAAUUAUAAAGCACAUAGUGCCAUAGCCAAGCGCAAGUUUGUCGGCUAUAGAGAAACCAGUGGCUCCACUUGUCCGUCCGCGCUGGAGACGCCAUCAACUACCGGCGCAACUCAACCCAAGUCUUCGUCAACGCUUGCCAAGAACCACCUAUCUUGCUCAGUCCACGGAUCGAUUCUCCCUACCGAUCAUUGCGUUCCAGCAGAUCUAUCCUGCAAUGGCCGACGAGGGAGAGAAACCAAUCAUCCACACGCUGCGAGACGCGCUGCUUCACUUCGCUGUCAAGUCCAAGAAGCUCGCGUCGCCGCUGCUCGAGCCGUUCGGGCGCGCGUCCGAGCCGGCCACCGUCGACGACGACGAGCUGACGGCGCUCAGGUCCAAGCUGCGCCGGAUCCGCGCCACGCUCCGCGACGCCGAGAGCCUGUCCGUCACCGACCGCUCCGUGCAGCUGUGGCUCGCCGAGCUCGGCGACCUCGAGCACCGGGCCGAGGACGUGCUGGAGGAGCUCGAGUACGAGUCCCGACGCUCGGCCCAGCUGGAGGAUCUCAAGCUCGACCUCCUCCGCGCCGCGAAGACCGGGAAGCGGCGCCGGGAGGUGGCGCUGCUGUUCGCCGCCGCGCCGGCGAGGCGGCUCCGCCGCAAGAUCGACGGCAUCUGGGCGCGGUACGAGGAGAUCGCGUCGGACAGGAGGAAGCUCCGGCUCCGCCCCGGCGACGGCGCGCCCCGGCCCGCGGCGAGCGCGCUCGUGCCGAGCAGCGCGCUCCCCCGCGGCUGCGGCGAGCUCCACGGGCGGGAGCGCGACGCCGAGAGGGUCGCCGCUCUGGUUGGCGCGCCGCCCGACAACGGGAGAGGCUACGCCGUCGUGCCGAUCGUCGGGAUGGCCGGCGUCGGUAAGACGGCGCUGGCGCAGCGCGUCUGCAACAUGGAGGCCGUCAGGUCGCACUUCGACAUGACGUUCUGGAUCUGGGUCUCACAGGAGUUCGACGUCGUCGGCGUGACACGCAAGAUCGUCGAGGCGAUCACCAGAUCUCGCCCUGAGUGCGACGAGCUGAGCACGCUUCAUGAGCUCAUAGUUGAGCAUCUUGCAGGGAAGAGAUGCUUGAUCGUUCUCGACGAUGUUUGGGAUGACAAUCCCAGCCACUGGGACUGCAUUACGGCUCCCCUGAGCCGCUGCGCGGUGGGGAGCACUGUCGUCGUGACGACAAGGAGCAAGAAGGUUGCCAAGAUGGCGAGCCCAAAGGUGUAUCAUCUGAAAUGCUUGUCAGAUGACGACUGCUGGCUUGUAUGCCAGCGACGGGCGCUGCCCAACAGCGACACCGACAUUAAGCAAGAACUUGUCGAGAUAGGUAAGCAGAUUGCGAAGAAGUGUGGGGGCUUGCCAUUGGCAGCAGAGGCAGCUGGUAGUGCCCUCAGCAAUUCAAUCAGCUGGGAGCACUGGAAAGAAGUCCUAGAGAACGGACUGUGGGCUGGCAGUGAGGCGAAGAAUCUGGUAUUGCCGGUGCUGAAGGUGAGCUACGAUCAUUUGUCGACACCACUGAAGCGAUGCUUUGCGUUCUGUUCGUUGUUUCCGAAGGGCUUUGUCUUCGACAAAGAUGUUCUAGUCCAGCUGUGGACUGCACAAGGAUUUGUGGAUGCUGAAGGAGACCGCAGCCCUGAAGUUACGGCCAAUGGCUACUUCAAUGAUUUGGUGUCAAGGUGCUUCUUCCACCCUUCCCCAGCUCAUGAUAUCGUUGAAGGGAAGUUUGCCAUGCAUGACCUGUAUCAGGAGCUUGCUCAGUUUGUUUCGGGCAAUGAAUGUAGGAUGAUACAUCACCCUUGUUCCAUGAAAAUAGGUGAGAGCCCUCGGCAUUUGUCCUUUGUCGACGAGGAGUCCUAUUCUGUUGAAGAAAUGCACUUGAACACAAUUCGUGGUCAUCAUGAUCUGCGAACCUUCCUGUUCAUUGCAAGAACAGAGCAAAAGCAUGAGGAGAUUACAUUUAGAACAAAGAUUCCUUCUGAACUGAUCAUGGAUUUUGAAUGCUUAAGAGCUCUAGAUUUGAGCAACACAAACAUCAUGGAGUUACCCAAGUCCAUAGGGAGUCUGAUACAUCUACGUUAUCUUUCUUUGGAUAACACCGCCAUCCAAACAUUGCCCGACUCAAUUUGUGCUCUCUUCCACCUGGAGACAAUCAAGCUUAACCAUUGUUCUUCUCUUACUCAGUUACCUCAAGGUAUAAAACUCCUGUUGAAUUUAAGGUGCCUAGAGAUCCCACAUUCAAACAUACAAAUGCCUUCUGGUAUAGGAGAGUUGACUAGGCUCCAGAGACUAUCUUUUUUUGCCAUUAGAAAUGAGCCUACUGGAUGUGGCAUAGAAGAACUGAAUGAACUGGUAAACCUUAGAGGACAUCUUCAUAUCACAGGUUUAAACAACCUGGAUGGUGCCCAAGCUGCUGCAGCCAACCUCUGGAACAAGUUGGGUAUUCAAAAGCUUACACUUGAAUGGUCUGCACUUACAAAUUUUAACAAGCCUCUUUGUAAUCCACAAGGAAAUGCAGUGAGAGGCAUAUCACACAGACAGGGCCCUGGAUUUAGUGCAGCAAAAGAUCAGGUGUUGAAAUGCCUCAAGCCUCAUUCAGAUCUGGAAGAGCUCAGUAUCAACCAUUAUAAUGGAUCCUUUUCUCCGACAUGGUCAGGAUGGCUACCCUUGGACAGGUUAGCUUCUAUUGAACUGAAAGACUGUCACAAUUGCGAAGAACUACCACCCCUUGGCUGCCUGCCAUCUCUUAAACACAUUUUGGUACAAUCACUGCCACGUGUCAAGCUAGUUGGGCCCGAAUUUUUUGGCGAUGUUGGAGAUAUCGCUUCAAGCAGUGAUGGGAGAGUAUGUAAUGUGUUUCCUGCACUGGAGUCGCUAAAGUUCAGGAACAUGAAAGCUUGGGAGGAAUGGUGUGGUGUCAAGAGUGAGCACUUUCCAAAUCUUAAAUAUCUCAGCAUUGAUAGGUGUAGCAAGCUCAAGCUAUUGCCCAAGUUCACAUCAGAACCAAAGCUGAGAAUCCGACACUGUGACCUGCUGCAAAGGCAAUUGUGUCAGAAAUAUCGGAAUAUGGUGAAGCACAUACCAGCUCAAAGUGAAAUUUCAUAUACAUGCAUCACGGAAGGUGACAUUUUAAUUCUUGAAGCUUCCUGUUCCUAUGGCGCAUAAAAAUAGGAAAUGGUCAUUGAUCCACAGAAUCAGGGUGCAUGCAAUGCAGUGCAAAGAUGUCUGCAUCAAUUCAACCUGGAGCUGAUUGAUGCACUUCCUCCGUGCAUGAGACUGCUGCAAAAAUUGGGCACAUGUACAGUAUGAAGAAAUGCUUCAAAAUACAGAGAAAGAUGAAAAUCAUCUGCGCUCAGUGGUCUUCAUGACUGGGUCCAAGCUCUCCCGCCAUGGCUUAUGUAAUAUAUGUAGGGACAGUAUGAGGAAGGAACUUGUGGCUGUUUGCACCAUGCAAACCAGCUGAAUUGCCACCCCUACAUCUCUAUGUUAUGAAAUUUCAAUUGUUCAAAAUUAUGGGUACCUGCUAUUCAUGCAAGUUUCCUCGUUAUGCACCUUAUUGUUACGUUCAGUUUGGUACUUUCAACCAGUUUGAACA